CAAAUACUCCCUCCGUCUGGAAAUACUUAUCAUCAAAAUGGAUAAAAGGAAAUGUAUCUAGACGUAUUUUAGUUUUGGAUACAUCUCUUUUUAUCCAUUUUGAUGACAAGUAUUUUCAAACGGAGGGAGUAGAAA
rnacentral:pre_miRNA from 1 species